rnacentral:tRNA from 1 species
CCGGCGGGAACGCCGUCGAGCGCGGCGCCCGUCUGCGGCGCGGGCGCCUCGGCCGGCUUGGUGGGCUCGGGCUCCUGCCCGCCGGGC